UUUGGCUCUGCAGGUGUUUGAACUGGACCAGACGGACCCGGGAUGCAGGCGCCGCCGAGACAGUCGCCCCCUCUCCCGGACUGACAGGCCAAUCGCAAGCCACCGUUUGCCCUGCAUCCAUCCACACUCUCCUCUCUCUCUCUUCCUCCCUCCUCCUCCUCCUCCUCUCUCUCUUCAGUUUCAUUCCUCAGCGCUCUGUUCGUGCAUCCCCUCCUCCUCCUCCUCCUCACACCUUUUGGUCAGAAGAGGAAGAGCAAGCCCAGCCCAGGGAGAGACGCUGAGAGGAUGAAACUCUGACACGCCGGCAGACCACAGGGAAACAAGAGCACAACUAUAAUUGCUUGGAAAGAAUCACCCAGGAAGGUCAGCCAAGACUCCCGCUGUAGGUGCCAAAGUGAGAUCUCCAGGACUACAAUUACUUCGGCUGCAGAGCAAAGUGAAUGACAGGGACGGCGCUUAAGCUGGACUCCACCCCCUGCAGCAGCUACUGAUUUCCAAUCCUAGAAUCUACAAACAGGUAGGAAGUGAAUUCUCCGGUUUUGGGUCC